rnacentral:tRNA from 1 species
GGACGGUUAGCUCAAUGGGAGAGCACUCGCUUCACGUGUGAGGGGUUGCAGGUUCGAGUCCUGUACCGUCCA